UGGNGAAUCUUCCGCAAUGGACGAAAGUCUGACGGAGCAACGCCGCGUGAGUGAUGACGGCCUUCGGGUUGUAAAGCUCUGUUAAUCGGGACGAAAGGCCUUCUUGCGAAUAGUUAGAAGGAUUGACGGUACCGGAAUAGAAAGCCACGGCUAACUACGUGCCAGCAGCCGCGGUAAUACGUAGGUGGCAAGCGUUGUCCGGAAUUAUUGGGCGUAAAGCGCGCGCAGGCGGAUUGGUCAGUCUGUCUUAAAAGUUCGGGGCUUAACCCCGUGAUGGGAUGGAAACUGCCAAUCUAGAGUAUCGGAGAGGAAAGUGGAAUUCCUAGUGUAGCGGUGAAAUGCGUAGAUAUUAGGAAGAACACCAGUGGCGAAGGCGACUUUCUGGACGAAAACUGACGCUGAGGCGCGAAAGCCAGGGGAGCGAACGGGAUUAGAUACCCCGGUAGUCCUGGCCGUAAACGAUGGGUACUAGGUGUAGGAGGUAUCGACCCCUUCUGUGCCGGAGUUAACGCAAUAAGUACCCCGCCUGGGGAGUACGACCGCAAGGUUG
rnacentral:rRNA from 1 species